GUGAACGGCGACCGGCAGACCUCGAAAGCGUGUGAGGGUGCAAGCCCUCCAGGGGUUCAAAUCCCCUCGCCACCGCCA
rnacentral:tRNA from 1 species